UACGUAGGGUGCGAGCGUUGUCCGGAAUUAUUGGGCGUAAAGAGCUCGUAGGCGGUCUGUCGCGUCGGCUGUGAAAACCCAGGGCUCAACCCUGGGCCUGCAGUCGAUACGGGCAGACUAGAGUCCGGCAGGGGAGACUGGAAUUCCUGGUGUAGCGGUGAAAUGCGCAGAUAUCAGGAGGAACACCGGUGGCGAAGGCGGGUCUCUGGGCCGGAACUGACGCUGAGGAGCGAAAGCGUGGGGAGCGAACAGG
rnacentral:rRNA from 1 species